rfam:Metarhizium majus ARSEF 297 Scaffold_95, whole genome shotgun sequence.
ACUUCUAUAGCUUAAUGGUAAAGCUCUAAUAUUAUAAAGGAUAGAUGUUCGAUUCAUCUUAGAAGUU